CAUUUGCGGUGAAAUUUCGUGUCAUAGGCACUUUAAUAAUCUUCAAGUUUUUGUCCUCAUACAACCAGUUCGUCUAGGUUUAAAGCAGACGAGGACUGAUCCUUUCUUAUGUCCAAAUCAAACGCAGUCUCUGGGCCAAGGUAAAUUUGAGAUCCUGAUGAUGGUGAUGGUGGCGCUUCUGAAUGGUUAUCCUCGUCAUUGCUAUUUACCACAUCGACAUGCUACACAGCAUGAAGGCUUUCGUUAUUUUUCCUUCUCUUGAAAUACAAUCGCAGCCCAAUCACGAUGUUCUUUGACUUUUCCUCAUAUGUAACUUCAGAUGGAGUCUCUGUAUUAAAUCCAUAGAUUAAAUCCUAACUUAAUUCUAACCCUAAUCACAGAGUAAACACCAUACUCUUAUUACUUUCAUCGUAACGGAUUUUUCCACUACGGUACGCCAUGUUUUUAGCAAGUGCCCUAAAUGGAGG